UACGUAGGGGGCAAGCGUUGUCCGGAAUUAUUGGGCGUAAAGCGCAUGUAGGCGGCAGCGCAAGUCGGGCGUGAAAUCCCACGGCUCAACCGUGGAAGUGCACUCGAAACUGCGCAGCUAGAGUCCUGGAGAGGAAGGUGGAAUGCUUGGUGUAGAGGUGGAAUGCGUAGAUAUUCGCAAGAACACCAGUGGCGAAGGCGGCGAUCUGGGAAGAUACUGACGCUGAGGUGCGAAAGCGUGGGGAGCAAACAGG
rnacentral:rRNA from 1 species